rfam:Triticum aestivum genome assembly, contig: Triticum_aestivum_CS42_TGACv1_scaffold_603499_7DL
AAAAUACUCCCUUCGUCUCAAAAUUCUUGUCUUAGAUUUGUCUAAAUACAGAUGUAUCAAGUCACGUUUUAGUAUUAGAUACAUCUAUAUCUAGACUAAUCUAAGACAAGAAUUUUGGGACAGAGGGGUACUAC